rnacentral:rRNA from 1 species
UACGUAGGGUCCGAGCGUUAAUCGGAAUUACUGGGCGUAAGGCGUGCGCAGGCGGUUUUGUAAGCCAGAUGUGAAAGCCCCGGGCUCAACCUGGGAACUGCAUUUGGGACUGCAAGGCUGGAGUACGGCAGAGGGAGGUGGAAUUCCACGUGUAGCAGUGAAAUGCGUAGAGAUGUGGAGGAACACCGAUGGCGAAGGCAGCCUCCUGGGCUAGUACUGACGCUCAUGCACGAAAGCGUGGGGAGCAAACAGG